rnacentral:rRNA from 1 species
CCUACGGGUGGCAGCAGUGGGGAAUAUUGGGCAAUGGGCGCAAGCCUGACCCAGCAACGCCGCGUGAAGGAAGAAGGCUUUCGGGUUGUAAACUUCUUUUCUCAGGGACGAAGAAAGUGACGGUACCUGAGGAAUAAGCCACGGCUAACUACGUGCCAGCAGCCGCGGCAAUACGUAGGUGGCAAGCGUUAUCCGGAUUUAUUGGGUGUAAAGGGCGUGUAGGCGGGAGCGGAAGUCAGAUGUGAAAACUCAGGGCUCAACCCUGAGCCUGCAUUUGAAACUGUGUUUCUUGAGUACUGGAGAGGCAAGCGGAAGUCCGUGUGUAGCGGUGAAAUGCGUAGAUAUACGGAGGAACACCAGUGGCGAAGGCGGAUUGCUGGAGAGUAACUGACGCUGAGGCGCGAAAGCGUGGGGAGCAAACAGGAUUAGAUACCCCAGUAGUC